rnacentral:rRNA from 1 species
AACAGGAUUAGAUACCCUGGUAGUCCACGCCCUAAACGAUGUCUACUAGUUGUUGGUGGAGUAAAAUCCAUGAGUAACGCAGCUAACGCGUGAAGUAGACCGCCUGGGGAGUACGGUCGCAAGAUUAAAACUCAAAUGAAUUGACGGGGGCCCGCACAAGCGGUGGAUUAUGUGGAUUAAUUCGAUGCAACGCGAAAAACCUUACCUGGCCUUGACAUGUAACGAACUUUCCAGAGAUGGAUUGGUGCUCGAAAGAGAACGUUAACACAGGUGCUGCAUGGCUGUCGUCAGCUCGUGUCGUGAGAUGUUGGGUUAAGUCCCGCAACGAGCGCAACCCUUGCCAAUAAUUGCCAUCAUUUAGUUGGGCACUUUAUUGGGACUGCCGAUGACAAAUCGGAGGAAGGUGGGGAUGACGUCAAGUCCACAUGGCCCUUAUGGCCAGGGCUUCACACGUAAUACAAUGGUCGGUACAGAGGGUUGCCAAGCCGCAAGGUGGAGCCAAUCCCAGAAAGCCGAUCGUAGUCCGGAUUGAGGUAUGCAACUCGACCUCAUGAAGUCGGAAUCGCUAGUAAUCGCGGAUCAGCAUGUCGCGGUGAAUACGUUCCCGGGCCUUGUACACACCGCCCGUCACACCAUGGGAGUGGGUUUUACCAGAAGUAGGUAGUCUAACCGCAAGGAGGACGCUUACCACGGUAGUAUUCAUGACUGGGGUGAAGUCGUAACAAGGUAACC